GAUGAACGCUGGCGGCGUGCCUAAUACAUGCAAGUCGAGCGAACAGACGAGGAGCUUGCUCCUCUGACGUUAGCGGCGGACGGGUGAGUAACACGUGGAUAACCUACCUAUGAGACUGGGAUAACUUCGGGAAACCGGAGCUAAUACCGGAUAAUAUAUUGAACCGCAUGGUUCAAUAGUGAAAGACGGUUUUGCUGUCACUUAUAGAUGGAUCCGCGCCGCAUUAGCUAGUUGGUAAGGUAACGGCUUACCAAGGCAACGAUGCGUAGCCGACCUGAGAGGGGGUUCGGCCACACGGAAACUGAGACACGGACCAGACCCCAACGGGGGGCAGCAGGAGGGAAUCUUCCGCAAGGGGCGAAAGCCUGACGGAGCAACGCCGCGUGAGGAAUGAAGUUCUUCGGAUCGAAAAACUCUUUUAUUAGGGAAAAACAAAUGUGUAAGUAACUAUGCACGCCUUGACGGUACCUAAUCAGAAAGCCCCGGCUAACUACG
rnacentral:rRNA from 1 species